UACGUAGGGUGCAAGCGUUGUCCGGAAUUAUUAGGCGUAAAGAGCUCGUAGGCGGUCUGUCGCGUCGGCUGUGAAAACCCGGGGCUCAACCCCGGGCCUGCAGUCGAUACGGGCAGACUAGAGUGCGGUAGGGGAGACUGGAAUUCCUGGUGUAGCGGUGAAAUGCGCAGAUAUCAGGAGGAACACCGGUGGCGAAGGCGGGUCUCUGGGCCGUAACUGACGCUGGGGAGCGAAAGCGUGGGGAGCGAACAGG
rnacentral:rRNA from 1 species